GAUGAACGCUAGCGGCAGGCUUAACACAUGCAAGUCGAGGGGCAACACGGGUAGCAAUACCUGGUGGCGACCGGCGCAAGGGUGCGUAACGCGUGAGCAACAUGCCCUAUACAGGGGGAUAAUCCAGGGAAACUUGGUCUAAUAUCCCAUAGUAUUUAGAGGUGGCAUCACCACUAAAUUAAAGCUUCGGUGGUAUAGGAUUGGCUCGCGUGACAUUAGCUGGAUGGUGGGGUAACGGCUCACCAUGGCGAUGAUGUCUAGGGGUUCUGAGAGGAAGACCCCCCAACUGGGACUGAGACACGGCCCAGACUCCUACGGGAGGCAGCAGUGAGGAAUAUUGGACAAUGGAUGGAAAUCUGAUCCAGCCAUGCCGCGUGCAGGAAGACGGCCCUAUGGGUUGUAAACUGCUUUUAAUGGGAGCAAUAAGGUUUACGCGUAGACCGAUGAGAGUACCAUAUGAAUAAGCAUCGGCUAACUCCGU
rnacentral:rRNA from 1 species